GAAAGGCCUGGGGAUGGUGGGGGAGGGAGAAGUGAGGACUGUGUUUUUGUGCCCCCUAGAAUCCUCAGUGCCUAUGGGGCUCCCUCCCCACUAGCUCACAGAUGAGGAAUGGAAAAUUCUCCUGGUGAAUAAUCCUUCCUUCCUUCCUCCUGCUGGAUGGACAUCUGGCCUGAAUCCUCCACGUGUGGUUUGGUCAUCGCCACAGACUCCCACUCAGUCUUGGGGUGAAGAAAAGGAGAAAUGAAAGUGAACUUUCCAGAAAGAACAUCACAUAUGACAUCAUCCUUGGACAUCACCCACCUGUUUCUCUGAAGGCCAAGAACAAGCCAGGACCAAGGUGACACUGAAGACUAGUAGCAGUGAUUGUGCAGGGAUGUGGAAACAAUGUCAAGGCGAGGCUCAUCCACUGAGGUCACUGAGGCAUCCCUCUGUUUUAGCAGAAGUCCAGGCCUCCUGCAGCACCUGGGUGAUGAAUAAGAUAAAGGCCCUGCCAUCGAGGACUUCAGAGCCCUUGACCCCGGAGAAAACCCAUUCGACUACCUCACUGCACCUGCUGCUGGUGUAGAGGAUGCGUAGCAUGAAACAUCUAGAUUUUCCAUAAGAUGAGUUUUCAUUUUGAAUUUUCAGAAACUUGAUACUGCCUUUGCUACAUAAGGGUUUGCCUUGGGAUUCGGUUCUUUUCUUUAGAAUCAGGAGAAUUUUUGGAGUAUCAUUCCCAUAAGCCCAGUAGCCAGGAACAGGCAGUGCAUUGGGAUGGGGCUGUAAGUGUUGGGAGUAGCAGACUGUCUUCUUGAACUGAAAUAGGACUUUGGAUGGAGCUUCAUGUGGCUUCAGAAAGGGUAGAGGCCAAUUUUUCUAGGUAUGGGUCAUGAGGUCCAUCAAAUUUCCAGCCUUAGCUUUAAAGGUUAUCUUGGGACUAUGUGGCCCAUGGUUUAUUCUGAUCACUUGAUGCUGUGAUUUCAAAGCUGGACAGGAACCAUCUCAUCUCCACCCUCUACUCACUUUCUGCCAGAGUCUGCUAGAGCCUUGGGCAGUUUCACGGAAAGGAUGACUCAGCGUGAUGACCAUUCAUGCAGAAACAAUGAGCCAUGAAACGGGCACCAUGAAGGUGAAGAGGGAGACCAAGUACUUCCUAACAACACCCAUUCUUCAGCACCAGCUUCAAGAGCAGGGGGUAGGGACUCUCUUGGUACCACUGACGUACAAAUGCGCAUGUAUCUACGUGAACACCUGUGGAUCAGAGUGGAGACCGUUACAUAAUAGGAUCCACUAGAGUCUUGCAAAAAGCAGAGAAACAAGAAUCAUUGGAGACCGGUUCUUCUAGUUAGCAGGUUCCUGCUUUCCAGUACUGAGAGUUGAGAUAAAUUCACAGACCCACACAUACUUUCCCACCCCCUAAAAGGUGUAUGUUGCUAUUUGCUUUCAUUUAACUUCAAAUUCUACCCUAGCCCAAGGCUAAUUCUCUGACUCUGUAUGGACAGACAAGAUGAUAGAGAUGAAAGCUAAAUCAUCUUUGAGCCUUGCUGUUGUAACAGAUAACAUACUUGGUGUGAAUCCAAGAUUUGUGACUUCUGUGACAAUCAACUUAUCAGAGUGCUCUGAGAUUGAGUUCAUGCUCUGGAAAUUAAAUUUACCACCUGCAAGAAAGCACAGUUACCAGAAUGGUCUUUAAAGGAUGUGCUUAGUUUUAAUUUUCCAUACCACAAGAAGAAAUGGGAAAAGGGUAUGGCAUGAAAAUCAUGCAUUAUGGGCAAAAAUAAAUUGCUAGUUGUGAUCCUUUACAAAACUCUUUGGGCCACAAAAAUAAUUCCCAGCGUGUGUCCCAGGACUUAUUCCUUCUAGGAAACUCUUAUUUUUCAUAACUACCUGAAAGCUUUCUAAAAAAUGCAGAUUUCUGGGCUCUACCUACCAAGAUUCAUUCAAUAUGUGUAUGAGUCAGCGAAAGCAAACCUUGCACCAAACAACUCCAUGGUUUCAAUGGCUGAAUAGGAUAAAAACUCGUUUUUCAUGCUACAGUCCAUUUAUGGAUCCAUGAAGGCAGAGUUCUGCAUUUCACACCUGGUUAUCUGGGACCCAACCUCCACUCCCACCCUUUUGCACCCCCCCCCAAUCUGGUACCUCUGUCAUUCCCCAUGGCCACAGAGUCCUUUCCAGGGUCUUCUGUGUCCAUCCCACAAAUGAGGACAUGGAGUACAGCUACAGAAAUGCAUCUGCUCUUAAUUGCUGUAGCUGGGACAGCCAUGUCUCUUCCACUCACAUCUCACGGGUAAGAAUUUGGCCAUGGUCCCAUGCAGGGGUCUGGGAAAUGUACUCUGUGUGCUGAGGAAGAAAAGGCAACGUGGUGAAAAAUUAAGCAGCACAGCCAUGGUUGGCAUGGGGACACAACUAUGUAUGUAUGUAUACAUUUUAUUGUGCAUAUUUGAGGUUGCAAAUAUUAUUUGAUUGCAAGCAUCUUUGGUACCUCCACCAAGGAUGAAGCCCAUUUUCUUGAGAAAUUCCUACCUGAAGGAAUGCAUAUGGUUAUCAGCAAGUGGGUGCUAACCUACUCUGAUAUACAGAUUGCCUUACAGCCACAGAAAUGGAAACACACAAGGCAAGCACCCACUAGUCUCCUAUAGUUUCUUGUUUGCGGCCACAGCUUUGCCAGUUGCAGCCCAACCCUGCAAUUCUACAAUCCAAGAAAUGAAGGAUCAGCAAUUAAGAAGGCUCAAUCCACCUAUCUGGGAGUCAAGUUCUCCAUCCAUAACAUAGGAAUUUUCAUCAAAAAAGCUAGUUGAAGUGUCUAUCACAUUGCCUGCCACAUCUUAGGUAUGUGAUAAGUGUUGGAAAGUACUUAACAGAGGGCUGAGCUUUUAGGAUCUCAGAUCAUGAUGGGAUUCACAGUCCAGAGAUAGAGUGGACCUUGCUACUCUAAGUGUACUCUAUAGAUCGGCAGUCUUUGUGUCGUCUGAGGUUAUGAGAAAUGCACUCUCAAGUCUCACUCCAGGACUACUGGUGAGAAUUCACCACUUAACAAGAUCUAAAUAUGAUUCAACCACAGAACCAGAUCUUCCUAUUCAGGUUUCAAAUUCCCCAAGAUGGAGGUGUGUCCAAUGUCAUUACCACAAGCUCCUGUACUUGAGGGGCAUAGAAAAAGGGCAGAGUGUGAUGGUCAGGGCCAGUGCACCAUACUCUGGGAGAGAAAAAACGAUGAUAGUCCUGUUGGGGAGGCAUCAUUUCCAUGUCCCAACAGGAUUCUUGCUGUCCCGAUUUUCUAAUUAAAAGUCCCUCCUUGGAGCUACUCCUGUCCUCUGCUGCUCAUUCAGGUUUUUGGUCCACGUCCUGCUGUAGCCGCUCUUGUUAUUUCUUAGAAAGAUGCCUGCUUUUGUCGUUUUUGAGGGGUGUUCAAGGACAGACAUGGGGCACGCACAGAGUAAUGGAGCUUUUAGAUCCUAACUUGUGGUUCCAGAGGUAAAGAGGAGAUUGUGUGGCGUGCAGGUGGUCAUGGUGAUGGAGUGACUGAAAACAGACUGGACAAGAUGUUAAAGUAAUGGGAAAACCUCACGGUAUAUAGCCUUUGAAUUGUAUGUGAGGAAGCUGUUGCCUACCUCCAUGGAGCUGAAAGACAGCUGCAAGUCAACAACUGUAAUAAUAGCAUAUUCUCUCUCUCUGUUAUCUAAUUCUGGU